GUUUUUUUACAGAUAAAGUUUAUCUGUCAAGGAACAAAUCCUGACAGUAAAUGCAAAGGUGUAUUAUACUUCAUUUUAGAUGCUGGUACAAUCGGCAAAUCGGCGACAAACCAUAUGUGGCUUAGGCAAUAGAACUACUGCUACAAAUGUGGUUUUAGAUUUAGAAUACUCAGAAGUUUGGGCAGGAAAGUUGCCUCCUUGUGCUACGUCUUAUGCACGGGCCACCUUAAGGAGCAUACAUGAUAUGUCAGACCUGGAUGUCGGAGACUCAAACAAUGAUCAUGAUGGAAUGGAGAUGUCAGGAGACCUUGUGUUAAUUUUUUUGUAAGAUAUUAACUGUGAAUAAAAACAGAAUCAAG